rnacentral:rRNA from 1 species
GAUAAACGCUGGCGGCGUGCCUAACACAUGCAAGUCGAACGCUCUCUUCUUUCGGGAAGAGGGAGUGGCGGACGGGUGAGUAACACGUGGGCCACCUACCCCCAGGUGAGGAAUACCGGCGAGAAAUCGCCGACAACACCGCAUAGGCUUGGCGCAAGCCAAGCAAAGUUCCGUUUCGGCGGGACGCCUGAGGAUGGGCCUGCGGCCGAUUAGCUAGUUGGUGAGGUAACGGCCCACCAAGGCGACGAUCGGUAGCUGGUCUGAGAGGAUGAUCAGCCACACUGGGAUUGAGAACGGCCCAGACUCCUACGGGGGGCAGCAGUGAGGAAUUUUCGGCAAUGGGGGCAACCCUGACCGAGCAACGCCGCGUGCAGGAGGACGGCCUUCGGGUUGUAAACUGCUUUUCUUGGGGACGAGCAAGGACGGUACCCAAGCAAUCAGCCCCGGCUAACUACGUGCCAGCCGCCGCAGUAAAAC